UGAGGAAUAUUGGUCAAUGGGAGAGAUCCUGAACCAGCCAAGCCGCGUGAGGGAAGACGGCCCUAUGGGUUGUAAACCUCUUUGUCGGAGAACAAAACCCGGGACGUGUCCCGGACUGCGUGUAUCCGAAGAAAAAGCAUCGGCUAACUCCGUGCC
rnacentral:rRNA from 1 species